rnacentral:lncRNA from 1 species
CACAGAUAAAAUUAGAUUAAAUUUGAAUCAAUUAAAUUAGAUUUAUUCUAAAAGUACCCGAUAGAGAGAGCGGCUUUGCUGGUGGUCGUCGGAGAGCCGGGAGGCGCUGGUGGUGGUGGUCUUCGGAGAGCCGGGAAGCGCUGGUGGUGGUGGUCUUCGGAGAGCCGGGAGGCCUGGUUGCGAUGGUGGUGGUUGGAGAAUCGGGAGGCGCAAGUGGUGGUGGUCGUCGGAGAAUUGGGAGGCGCUGCUGGUGGUGGUGGUCGUCGGAGAGCCGAGAUGCGCUAGUGGUGGUGGUCGUCGGAGAACCGGGAGGCAGUGGUGGUGGUGGUCGUCGGAGAAGGCGCUGGUGGUGGUGGGGGAGAAAGAAAGGUAGGAUUGCUGAGAGAGAGAGAGUCGGGAAAUUAGGGUUUC